UACGAAGGGGGCUAGCGUUGCUCGGAAUCACUGGGCGUAAAGGGUGCGUAGGCGGGUCUUUAAGUCAGGGGUGAAAUCCUGGAGCUCAACUCCAGAACUGCCUUUGAUACUGAGGAUCUUGAGUUCGGGAGAGGUGAGUGGAACUGCGAGUGUAGAGGUGAAAUUCGUAGAUAUUCGCAAGAACACCAGUGGCGAAAGCGGCGCACUGGACCAUAACUGACGCUGAGGCGCGAAAGCUAGGGGAGCAAACAGG
rnacentral:rRNA from 1 species